GACGGGACCGCACAAGCGGUGGAUGAUGUGGUUUAAUUUCGAUGCAACGCGAAAAACCUUACCCACCUUUGACAUGUACGGAAUCCUUUAGAGAUAGAGGAGUGCUCGAAAGAGAACCGUAACACAGGUGCUGCAUGGCUGUCGUCAGCUCGUGUCGUGAGAUGUUGGGUUAAGUCCCGCAACGAGCGCAACCCUUGUCAUUAGUUGCUACAUUCAGUUGGGGCACUCUAAUGAGACUGCCGGUGACAAACCGGAGGAAGGUGGGGAUGACGUCAAGUCCUCAUGGCCCUUAUAGGUGGGGCUACACACGUCAUACAAUGGAUGGUACAAAGGGUCGCCAACCCGCGAGGGGGAGCCAAUCCCAUAAAGCCAUUCGUAGUCCGGAUCGCAGUCUGCAACUCGACUGCGUGAAGUCGGAAUCGCUAGUAAUCGUGGAUCAGAAUGUCACGGUGAAUACGUUCCCGGGUCUU
rnacentral:rRNA from 1 species